rnacentral:rRNA from 1 species
ACGAACGCUGGCGGCGUACUUAACACAUGCAAGUCGGACGAGAAAGGGGGCUCCGGCUCCUGAGUAAAGUGGCGUACGGGUGCGUAACACGUAAGUAAUCUGCCCUAAACACCGGGAUAACCUUCCGAAAGGGGGGCUAAUACCAGAUAGUUCCUUAGAGUGAUGGCUUUAAGGGGAAAGCAGGCCUCUGUCUCAAGCUUGCAGUUUAGGAUGAGCUUGCGGCCCAUUAGCUAGUUGGUAGGGUAAAAGCCUACCAAGGCAACGAUGGGUAGCUGGUCUGAGAGGAUGAUCAGCCACACUGGCACUGAGACACGGGCCAGACUCCUACGGGAGGCAGCAGUGGGGAAUUUUGCGCAAUGGGCGAAAGCCUGACGCAGUAACGCCGCGUGGAGGAUGAAGGCCUUCGGGUUGUAAACUCCU